rnacentral:lncRNA from 1 species
AUAAUCUUGUGCUUGAAUAAAAAUUCUCAUUCUAGUCUUCCAAUAGGAAUAAUUUGUCCCAUUGAAGAGUGGAGGUCUAUUGGUUGCCUGCCCCUCAGCAGGAACAUUGUUGAAGGGUGUUGCCAUCUUGAUCUUUGGCAAAGACGGUUAAGUCUUCAAGAAUACAAAGAGCACCUGCUCUGAUACCACUUGUUGCCCAGAGAUGGUCACCCAAGAGGGGGGUGAAUUGGGUGUUUUAAAACUUUUUGUCUAAUUAAAACAAGACACACAAGUGUAUGUGCUAAAGUAAAGAUAGAGUUAUCAGCACAGUCAAUCGCAAACACAAAGAUUUAUAGUGGUUCGGAGCUUCCACUGCUCCUACAUCCACUCCCCAA